rnacentral:rRNA from 1 species
UACAGAGGGGGCAAGCGUUUGUUCGGAAUUACUGGGCGUAAAGGGCGCGUAGGCGGCCUUCUAAGUCGAACGUGAAAUCCCUGGGCUCAACCCCAGGAACUGCGUCCGAUACUGGAUGGCUUGAAUUCGGGAGAGGGAUGCAGAAUUCCAGGUGUAGCGGUGAAAUGCGUAGAUAUCUGGAGGAAUACCGGUGGCGAAGGCGGCAUCCUGGACCGACAUUGACGCUGAGGAGCGAAAAGCUAGGGGAGCAAACGGG